CGGUUAGCUCAGCUGGUAGAGCGUCUGCCUUACACGCAGAAUGUCGGGAGUUCGAGCCUCUCACCGCCCA
rnacentral:tRNA from 1 species